AUUGAACGCUGGCGGCAGGCCUAACACAUGCAAGUCGAACGAGUGGCGGACGGGUGAGUAAUGUCUGGGAAACUGCCUGAUGGCGGGGGAUAACCACUGGAAAUGGUAGCUAAUACCGCAUACCAUCAGAUGUGCCCAGAUGGGAUUAGCUUGUUGGUGGGGUAACGGCUCACCAAGGCGACGAUCCCUAGCUGGUCUGAGAGGAUGACCAGCCACACUGGAACUGAGACACGGUCCAGACUCCUACGGGAGGCAGCAGUGGGGAAUAUUGCACAAUGGGCGAAAGCCUGAUGCAGCCAGGCCGCGUGUAUGAAGAAGGCCUUCGGGUUGUAAAGUACUGUCAGCGGGGAGGCGUGACCCGCAGAAGAAGCACCGGCUAACGCCGGGCCAGCGGCCGCGGUAAUUC
rnacentral:rRNA from 1 species